rnacentral:rRNA from 1 species
GCAGCCGCGGUAAUNGCAAGGGUGCUAAUCUUAAUUGGAAUUACGGGGCGUUAAGCGCGCCUAGGUGGUACUUCAAGUUGGAUGUGAAAGCCCCGGGCUCAACCUGGGAACUGCAUCCAAAACUACNUGGGCUAAAGUAUGGUAGAGGGUGGUAGAUUUCCACCU